CAUUAGUAUUAAUAGCAAUUUAGAUUUUUUAAAUGUGAUUUACAUGAUUUAUUAUAAUUCACAUCAUAAUAUUGUUUCAAUUAAGAGCCCUAGUUUGGUAAUUAUGAGGCAAUGGUUUUUGAUAUAAGAUGGUUCGUUGAAGAGGAAGAAGUAUUCUUAUUGUGAAGUGAAGCUAUUAAAAUAAGUAAAGAGUGUAUAUUAACUUGUACUUCUUAAACAACUCAUGCACAAAGUAUUACAAGUUAUUGCUAUAAAUAUUAUGAUUAACAUUUAGAUAAAAAGUGCAUAAAAUGUUACAUAUUCAUGAGGAUAUUCUGGAUUAAUAAUGAUUUCUCCAUUAACUUUAUAAUUUUUAUAUUUCUGUUUAUAAAUAAUGUUAAAAUCCAACUCCAAUAACAUUUUAUUGGCAUGAAAAUUAUUGCAUUGAGAAAUGAUUAAUUUAUGGUUCAACUUUUCAGCUAAAAUUCUAAACAAUCAAUUGAUGCUCUUAUUAAAUUUGUUGCAAAUCGUUGUUUUGGAUAAUUUUUAGCCAGAAUACAAACACUUAUCCUAAAAUAUGCUUCCAAAUUUGGGUAGGUGAACUGGUUUCAUUUCAACAUCAAAUCCUUUUUUAAUGAUAUGGUUACCACAGAUUCCCACAAUUUCUGGUCCAUUCAACAUAAUUAUCAAAACAUCUUGUUCCAUGUAGUGUUUAUCAAAAAAUAUUCCAAUGAUUCAGGACUACUCAUAACUUCUAAAUAUUUACUGACCGGUCUGUGUAAAAAUUCUUUUCCAAAAAAUAUAAGCAACGUUUAAUUUCA